UAGGGAAUCUUCCGCAAUGGACGCAAGUCUGACGGAGCAACGCCGCGUGAGUGAAGAAGGAUUUCGGUUCGUAAAACUCUGUUGUUAGAGAAGAACAGCGCAUAGAGUAACUGUUAUGCGUGUGACGGUAUCUAACCAGAAAGCCACGGCUAACUACGUGCCAGCAGCCGCGGUAAUACGUAGGUGGCAAGCGUUGUCCGGAUUUAUUGGGCGUAAAGCGAGCGCAGGCGGUCAAUUAAGUCUGAUGUGAAAGCCCCCGGCUCAACCGGGGAGGGUCAUUGGAAACUUGUUGACUUGAGUGCAGAAGAGGGGAGUGGAAUUCCAUGUGUAGCGGUGAAAUGCGUAGAUAUAUGGAGGAACACCAGUGGCGAAGGCGACUCUCUGGUCUGUAACUGACGCUGAGGCUCGAAAGCGUGGGUAGCAAACAGG
rnacentral:rRNA from 1 species